AUUGAACGCUGGCGGCAGGCCUAACACAUGCAAGUCGAGCGAGUGGCGGACGGGUGAGUAAUGUCUGGGAAACUGCCUGAUGGCGGGGGAUAACUACUGGAAACGGUAGCUAAUACCGCAUACCAUCAGAUGUGCCCAGAUGGGAUUAGCUAGUAGGUGGGGUAAUGGCUCACCUAGGCGACGAUCCCUAGCUGGUCUGAGAGGAUGACCAGCCACACUGGAACUGAGACACGGUCCAGACUCCUACGGGAGGCAGCAGGGGGGAAUAUUGCACAAUGGGCGGAAGCCUGAUGCAGCCAUGCCGCGUGUGUGAAGAAGGCAUUCGGGUUGUAAAGCACUGUCAGCGAGGAGGCGUUACUCGCAGAAGAAGCACCGGCUAACUCCGUGCCAGCAGCCGCGGUAAUAC
rnacentral:rRNA from 1 species